rnacentral:rRNA from 1 species
CACGUAGGGCGCAAGCGUUGUCCGGAAUUAUUGGGCGUAAAGAGCUCGUAGGCGGUCUGUCGCGUCUGCUGUGAAAACUCAGGGCUUAACCCUGAGCUUGCAGUGGGUACGGGCAGACUAGAGUGCGGUAGGGGAGACUGGAAUUCCUGGUGUAGCGGUGAAAUGCGCAGAUAUCAGGAGGAACACCGGUGGCGAAGGCGGGUCUCUGG